rnacentral:RNase_P_RNA from 14 species
UCUGCAACAAUCCUGCACCUGGAGCACACAAACAAUGCACUUGUUGCACAAAAACUGCAACGGGAAGGUCUGAGGCAGGCAACUACCCCCUAGCUGGGGGCUCGCAUAUUGCGAGACAAGGGAACCAGAAAUAUGUCAACGAAGCAUCAAAGCCAAGGAUUACUUACGUAUAGGUGAUAUGCCUAGUUGGUUGGAAGCCCUUGUUGCCAGCAUUUUGAGUGUAAUUUGCAGGCUGGAAAAUUUCUUCCAGAACUCAAUUCAGACUAAUCUGUUACAGA